UAGAUACCCCACUAUGCCCAACCGUAAACCUUUACUUACAACCAAAUCGCCAGGGUACUACGAGCUAAGCUUAAAACCCAAAGGACUUGACGGUACCCCAAAUCCUCCUAGAGGAGCCUGUCCUAUAAUCGAUAAUCCACGUUUAACCUCACCACUUUUAGUUAACCAGCCUGUAUACCUCCGUCGUCAGCUUACCCCAUGAGCGUAAAUCAGUGAGCCCAAUGUUACUUCACCAAUACGUCAGGUCAAGGUGCAGCAUAUGAAGUGGAAAGAGAUGGGCUACACUUUCUAUAUUAGAAGAAACGAAAAACUACCUAUGAAACCUAGUUAGAAGGCGGAUUUAGCAGUAAAAAGGAAUCAGCAUAUCCUUUUUAACCCGGCACUGGGGUGUGUACACACCGCCCGUCA
rnacentral:rRNA from 1 species